rnacentral:rRNA from 1 species
GACGAACCGUGCGAACGUUGUUCGGAAUCACUGGGCUUAAAGGGCGCGUAGGCGGAUCAUACAGUCUAGGGUGAAAUCCUCCGGCUUAACCGGAGAACUGCCUUGGAUACUAAUGAUCUCGAGGGAGGCAGGGGCAGUUGGAACUUCCGGUGGAGCGGUGAAAUGCGUUGAUAUCGGAAGGAACGCCGGUGGCGAAAGCGAACUGCUGGACCUCUACUGACGCUGAGGCGCGAAAGCCAGGGGAGGCAAACGGG